rnacentral:lncRNA from 1 species
GGUCCCUCUGGUUGUGCUGUGUGGGACGCCACCUCAGCGUGGCUUGAUGAGCGGUGCCAUGUCCACACCCAGGAUCCGAACUGGUGAAACACUGGGCCGUGGAGGCGGAGCACGUGAACUCACCCACUAGGCCACGGGCCUGCCCCUGGGAUUUUCGUUUAAAAUCAACAAAUAAAUCUUAAAGAGGGGCCGGCCUGGCCGAGUGGUUAAGUUUGCGUGCUCCGCUUCGGUGGCUCAGGGUUUCACCCAUUAGGAUCCUGGGCGCGCCAGGUCGGAUCCUUUUGAAGCGGUGGCAUCUGCAGCCCUUUGUUAAAGGCUCUACUUCCCAUCAGGCAGGGCAGCCUCUGUCUGCCUUCCACGGGUGCCGACAGGAAGCCUAGGCCUGUGGUUUUCCAGGAAGAAGGCAUAGGAGCUGAGCCCAAACUUUGCCUUCCUUAAAACUGCAAAGCUGGUGGUAGAAAUGUACAUGAGCCGCUGGGGUGGGAAGGCAUGUGAAUGUUUGCAAUGUAAGUGUUUAAUGAGAGAAGACGCAGGAAAACGGGGGGACGCCUUACCUUUGGUUGAGUGGGAAAGAAAUGAGAGAAAGGGGCCCAUUUACUGGGGGGAGAGGUCAAAGGUGUCUGCUUCCGGGUUGCCAAUGGGCCUGUUAGGUUUGUUGAUGACGAUAAACCUGAUAGAACUGGGUUUUUUCUUUCUUUCUUUUUUUUUUUUAAAAAAAAGCUUUGGUUAAGAGAGCCAUAACCUAGAGGGCUCUUUUAUUUUUCUUAAAUGGGGAAAUUACUUCGACCUAGAAGAGCUUUUUUUUAAAAACUUCACUCUAUAUUUAUUAUCAUUAGUAUUGAUAUAAUUUUGAAACUUUUAUGCAUAUAGAAUAAAGCAUGAAUUACUCCCUUGGGGAGGAGAUUGUUACAAAUGAAGAUUCCUAGGCCAGACUGGUUACAGAUGGGCCUCAGAGCAAACGUGUGGAAUGAUGGAUAUAAGGCUGAAUUUCUUAACUGUCGAAAAAGUAAGAAAGAACUUGAAAUUAGUAUGAGAAAUAAAACAGAUGACGGAAACUUUUUCGUGAAACAGUGCAACUACAAUAUGCGAAAAAGUAGACAGGUAAAGCACACACACUUGGGAAGUGGAAACAUCUCGAAGUACCGUAGAUGUGAGAAAUAGAAAGAUGACACUGCAGAGCCAUAGUCAGCUGAGCAUGGACGUUGAGAUACUUGUCCGGUAAUUAUCAGGGCCUUGAAGUAUAUGAAGUCCAUUUUUGCACCCCCACCCUCUUCUCUCCCUCUCAGUUUUCCACCCUGCAUUUUCACAGUCUGGGCGGCCCAGGAAAUGCCCUGUUGUCUCGGCUUUCCCUUGGCUCCACAAUUCACAUUUGCCUGCUAUCCCCACUUGAUCAGAUACACCAGCCGCUGGGAGAGGCUCAGGGGGUUUCUCUCCCGGGCAACUUCUUUUUCACAGUGAGUGCCCUGACAUCCAGAUGUCUCAACCGAAAGGACUGAGUUCAUAGUGAGAACCUCAGGUAUUCCACAGAGCCCAGAGGAGGAGGUAGCCAGGGGCAGGUGGAUGGUCUGUUCAGAUGUGCUCGUAGCAGCAGCCGAAGUGAGGAGAGUGUAAUUCACAAGAACGUCACUUCCCGUUUUUGGAGCUCAUCAGUGGGCAGGCACUGUGCAUUUUACUCAUUGUCUGAUUUAAUACACAGAACGAGCCUUUCGGCUAAGUUUUACGGAUAAACUGAGGAGGACAGUAUGUAAAUUAACGGGCACAGCUAUGUUCCAAUAAAACUUUACAAAACUGGCAAAGAGCUGGACAUUGUGGCCCCUCUAGGUCCACCCACAGAGGCUCUGGCUUAUCCAGCAGCUGCCUUGAAGGGCUGGACAGCUAAGCCCUAAAUGCAGGGAGGUUAACACCUAGUGGGACAGGCAAAAAGGCCAAUGAGAGAGCAGAAGCAGGAAGGUGCUGGCAGAUAAAUUGCUCAUACUUCCCUCCUCCCCCAAUGGAUGUUUCCGACAAGUGGUUUCAUACAGCCCUGAGCAACCAGCUGUGUUUCUUGGAAAUCUGUGGCCAGUUCAUAAAGCCCCUGCUUUCUAAGGAACCCAGGCUAAGACAUCUGC